rnacentral:rRNA from 1 species
GACGAACGCUGGCGGCGUGCUUAGCACAUGCAGGUCGAACGGAAAGGCCCUGCUUUUGUGGGGUGCUCGAGUGGCGAACGGGUGAGUAACACGUGAGUAACCUGCCCUUGACUUUGGGAUAACUUCAGGAAACUGGGGCUAAUACCGGAUAGGAGCUCCUGCUGCAUGGUGGGGGUUGGAAAGUUUCGGCGGUUGGGGAUGGACUCGCGGCUUAUCAGCUUGUUGGUGGGGUAGUGGCUUACCAAGGCUUUGACGGGUAGCCGGCCUGAGAGGGUGACCGGCCACAUUGGGACUGAGAUACGGCCCAGACUCCUACGGGAGGCAGCAGUGGGGAAUAUUGCACAAUGGGCGGAAGCCUGAUGCAGCAACGACGCGUGCGGGAUGACGGCCUUCGGGUUGUAAACCGCUUUCGCCUGUGACGAAGCGUGAGUGACGGUAAUGGGUAAAGAAGCACCGGCUAACUACGUG